rnacentral:lncRNA from 1 species
AAACCAUCCUGGGGGAGGAAGUGGGCCCUGUCCAGCUGGAAAACCUGGAGGGAGGAAGCCGGCCUCCCUCGCGCUGGGUGUGGCUCGCUCCAGAGGCAGCCGGCUGAGAUCCACUCUGCUCUUGGCCCUGGACAGACAGAGACGGACGGAGAGCCUCCCAGCCCACAGGCACGCUGUGGCUGCCGCCAGCUUGGGGCCUGACUUCCUCUCCAGGCAAGAAGAGGAGGAAGGAUCUCCUCACAGCCAACUUUGGUGACUAAAUUUCCAGCACAAAAGGCAAAGGAGGCAAGUAAGUGUGGCUUUUCAGAUGGAACGGUCCCUCCCAGGUUCCCAGGGUGUAGCAACAGUUAGAUGUAGGUGCAGGUCUAAAACUACCACCUAGAUUUUGGCCAUGUAAGGAAACAUCCCAGAUUCCAGGGAUGAAGAAUGGACACUUGAGAGACUCUCAUUUAGCUGUCUCUGAGCCUCAGUUUCCUCAUCUGUGAAAUGGAAAUGAUCAUCGCCACAAUCACAGGAUGCUGGGCUUGGUGUGGGUAUUAAAUGAGACGGUACCUCUGAAAGCCAGGCGGUGAGAACAGCUGAUUAUUCUUGCAUGUGAGGGGCACCACAGAUAGAGAGGGUGGCAAUAAGCACAUUUUGAAUGAAAGCUCAAAUCCUGGCUCCACUUCUUGCUGUUGUGUGUGCUCUGCCUCUCUGAGCUGGCAUUUCCUCACCCUGCAAAAUGCAACAGCUGACAGUCACUCCUAGGGGCUGGAAUGAGACACGGUGCCUCAGGAGAGGAGCUCCAGCAAGUCAGCAUCCUCCUCCAAGGAAGGAAGGCUGACUCGGGAUGCUCAAGCCUCCUCUGAGAAGGAGAAGGGACAGAGACUGGAUUCUGUGACCCCAGAUGCCAAAGAGCCCAUCUCCAGGGCUCCUGUCCUCCCUGGAAAUGGCCACCUAGAGAG